rnacentral:rRNA from 1 species
GAUCCUGGCUCAGAUUAAACGCUGGCGGCAUGCCUUACACAUGCAAGUCGAACGGCAGCACGGGGGCAACCCUGGUGGCGAGUGGCGGACGGGUGAGUAAAGCAUCGGAACGUAUCCUGGAGUGGGGGAUAACGUAGCGAAAGUUACGCUAAUACCGCAUAUUCUGUGAGCAGGAAAGCAGGGGAUCGCAAGACCUUGCGCUCUGGGAGCGGCCGAUGUCGGAUUAGCUAGUUGGUGGGGUAAAGGCCUACCAAGGCGACGAUCCGUAGCGGGUCUGAGAGGAUGAUCCGCCACACUGGGACUGAGACACGGCCCAGACUCCUACGGGAGGCAGCAGUGGGGAAUUUUGGACAAUGGGCGCAAGCCUGAUCCAGCCAUGCCGCGUGAGUGAAGAAGGCCU